rnacentral:rRNA from 1 species
CCCUUAGAUGUUCUGGGCUGCACGCGCGCUACACUGUCGGAUUCAGCGAGUCAUAUCCUUAACCGAAAGGCUUGGGUAAUCUUUUGAAAGUCCGACGUGAUGGGGAUUGAUCAUUGCAAUUAUUGAUCAUGAACGAGGAAUUCCUAGUAAGCGCGAGUCAUCAGCUCGCGUUGAUUACGUCCCUGCCCUUUGUACACACCGCCCGUCGCUACUACCGAUUGAAUGGUUUAGUGAGAUCUUCGGAUUGGCGCCUACGCGGCUUCUCUGAGGCCACGCUGGAUGCCGAAAAGUUGCUCAAACUGUAUCAUUUAGAGGAAGUAGAAGUCGUAACA